CUCUCGUGGUUAGCAGUUAUAAGCUCAUGGGCUUAUUUCCAGUACAGAGAGACGUAAAGGGGUCUAUUUCCAUGCCGACAAGGCAAAAAAUAUAUUAGUUAUGUAUGCCGAUAGUAAUCUUUUGAUGAAAUUCGCAAAACAUAAC
rnacentral:ncRNA from 1 species